rnacentral:rRNA from 1 species
UGGUGGAGUGAUUUGUCUGGUUAAUUCCGUUAACGAACGAGAUCUCAGCCUGCUAAAUAGUGGGCGGAGCCAUCUGUAUGGGUGAAGUGGGUCGCGGCGCAGGGGAUCUCGGUUCCCUGCUCGAGGCCCAUGGAUCCCUGAUGGUCUCCGUUACGCUUCUUAGAGGGACUACCGGCGUUUAGCCGGGGGAAGGUUUGAGACAAUAACA